GUCGAGCGGUAAGGCCUUUCGGGGUACACGAGCGGCGAACGGGUGAGUAACACGUGGGUGAUCUGCCCUGCACUUCGGGAUAAGCCUGGGAAACUGGGUCUAAUACCGGAUAUGACCUCAGGUUGCAUGACUUGGGGUGGAAAGAUUUAUCGGUGCAGGAUGGGCCCGCGGCCUAUCAGCUUGUUGGUGGGGUAAUGGCCUACCAAGGCGACGACGGGUAGCCGACCUGAGAGGGUGACCGGCCACACUGGGACUGAGACACGGCCCAGACUCCUACGGGAGGCAGCAGUGGGGAAUAUUGCACAAUGGGCGAAAGCCUGAUGCAGCGACGCCGCGUGAGGGAUGACGGCCUUCGGGUUGUAAACCUCUUUCAGCAGGGACGAAGCGCAAGUGACGGUACCUGCAGAAGAAGCACCGGCUAACUACGUGCCAGCAGCCGCGGUAAUACGUAGGGUGCAAGCGUUGUCCGGAAUUACUGGGCGUAAAGAGUUCGUAGGCGGUUUGUCGCGUCGUUUGUGAAAACCAGCAGCUCAACUGCUGGCUUGCAGGCGAUACGGGCAGACUUGAGUACUGCAGGGGAGACUGGAAUUCCUGGUGUAGCGGUGAAAUGCGCAGAUAUCAGGAGGAACACCGGUGGCGAAGGCGGGUCUCUGGGCAGUAACUGACGCUGAGGAACGAAAGCGUGGGUAGCGAACAGGAUUAGAUACCCUGGUAGUCCACGCCGUAAACGGUGGGCGCUAGGUGUGGGUUCCUUCCACGGAAUCCGUGCCGUAGCUAACGCAUUAAGCGC
rnacentral:rRNA from 1 species